CUGCAUUUCGUCUCCUUGUACAUGUGUGAUCACACUAAAGUCGAAUGCAAUCUAAUCUAAUAUGCAGAUUUAUUUCCAGUAGUUGUGAGUGUGUAGUUGGUGAUCUUGUGGGAAUCUGGAGCGUCCCGCGUCCCCACGUUCAUGCAGAUGAAUAUGAGUGACCUUACUGGCAGAUGGCAGAGAGCAGAACAUCCCACCGUCCGCUCAUCAACACACUAUUGUCCACACACGCCGAGGCCUCUGAUUGGCUGAGAGCACAGAGAUACGGGUAUAAAAGGAGGCUGAAGAUGAUGGAAAUCCACUUGAAGAUCAGACUUCAGCAGAAUCAGCAUCAGUCAUGGCCACAUACAUGGACGUGUCUUUCCAGAGCAGCUUCAAGACUCAACAUGUUCAACACGCAAGAUGCGUUCUCACGUGUUUGGAGAGAAAGUGUGGCAGCAGCUUGGAGAAGCUCAGAUGUGCUGUCGGAGAGUAUCUUCAGGCCUCAGAUCUGCUGGAGAGAGCCGUGUCUUUCCUCACGCUCAGAAGAGUCUUACUGUCUCAUGACGGAUACUCCAAAUAUUCCAGAGAAAUCCUGCGGCUGUUUCCCGACCAUGCAGAGGAUGUAGCAGCGUUACUGUCUGAAGAAUGAACACCGGAUACUGAAACACUCAGACUGAACAUCAAGAAGCCUUUAAAGAAAUGUACAGUUGAAGUCAGAAUAAUUCGCCCUCCUGUGAAAUAUUUCCUAAAUGAUGUUUAACAGAGCAAGGAAUUUCUCACAGUAUUUCCUAUAAUAUUUUUUCUUCUGGAGAAAGUCUUAUUUCUUUUAUUUUGGCUAGAAUAAAAGCAGUUUUAAAUUUUUUAAACACAAUUUUAAGGUCCAAAUUUUUAGCCCCCUUAAGCAAUAUUUGCUUUCUAUUAUCUACAGUACAAACCCCUGUUGUACAAUGACUUGCCUAAUUAACCUAAUUAAGCCUUUAAGUGCCACUUUAAGCUGAAUACUAGUAUCUGAAUAUCUAGUCAAAUAUUAUUUACUGUCAUUAUGACUAAGAUAAAAUAAAUCAGUUAUUAGAGAUGAGUUAUUAAACUAUUAUGAUUAGAAAUGUGUUGAAACAUAUCUUCUCUCUGUUAAACAGAAUUAUACAGGAGGGCUAAUAACUCUGUCUUCAACUGUUUAUAAAACACAGAUGCCUUAAUUUGAGUUUAUUUUCUUGCUUCAAAGAAUAUUUUUAUACUUUUUUGUUUUUACAAAUGCUCAGUUUUAUGCAUUGUGUGCAUUAUUAUUAGCAGUUGCACUGCCUUAUAGCUCUUUUGUUUGUAAAUGUGAUGCUUUAUGCUGAUAUUUGUUUAAUAUGCAUAAAGAAAUUGAAACCAAAACUCCUCUAAAUGGGAGUAAAUGUUUUUUUAUAUCAGUAUUGUGAUUUAACAAUGAUCCUAUUAUUCUUAAUGAGGAUCUCAAGCCAUACAUCUGGACGACAGUCCAAAAUAAAAUAUGAUUUUAUACGAUAA